UCGGCUCCCGGCUCCUCUCGAGCUCCACUGCACAACUUUGCAGGGUGGCAAAUUGUAGCGCAGGAGGCCUGAGCAACUGGAGAAACUGCAGGGCUCUCUACAAACAAGGCAGCUGGGAGCAACUAUUGUGGCACAAAACUCUUCUUAAUCCACCCCUGUGGAAAGGGGCUCAGAGAACAAAUAUCAAGGACUGGAGACACAGACAAACCUCGCUUGGCAUUUGAAGCCUUUGUGUAAAAGCAAGUUCUCAUUUAAGCAUCGGCACCUCUGCUGUCUCGCUGCAGAAACCAGCACUGCUGCACAGGGACAGGUUUCUUCUCCCACCGUUUAUGGCACUAAACCCA